GAUGAACGCUGGCGGCGUGCUUAACACAUGCAAGUCGAACGGUGAAGCAGGAGCUUGCUCUUGUGGAUCAGUGGCGAACGGGUGAGUAACACGUGAGCAACCUGCCCCUGACUCUGGGAUAAGCGCUGGAAACGGCGUCUAAUACUGGAUAUGUGAUGUGACCGCAUGGUCUGCAUCUGGAAAGAAUUUCGGUUGGGGAUGGGCUCGCGGCCUAUCAGCUUGUUGGUGAGGUAAUGGCUCACCAAGGCGUCGACGGGUAGCCGGCCUGAGAGGGUGACCGGCCAGACUGGGACUGGGACACGGCCCAGACUCCUACGGGAGGCAGCAGUGGGGAAUAUUGCACAAUGGGCGGGAGCCUGAUGCAGCAACGCCGCGUGAGGGAUGACGGCCUUCGGGUUGUAAACCUCUUUUAGCAGGGAAGAAGCGAAAGUGACGGUACCUGCAGAAAAAGCACCGGCUAACUACGUGCCAGCCGCCGCGGUAA
rnacentral:rRNA from 1 species